ACAGACCCCACGCAAGAUGACGAGCGCAUCAUUCAGGACAUUCAGAAAGAGGGCGAGAAAGAGCUCAACAAGAAGAACGCAGAGACUUCAGGGAAGAGAGUGGGCCCGCCCCCGGAACCUGUGGUGGUUGCUAAGCGACCUCGAGCAGCUCCCCCUCCGCAGGCGGCGCCCUUAUUGGUCCCUCCUCGUGUCAUUCUGCCUCAUCGCCAGCCCCC